rnacentral:ncRNA from 1 species
CUCUUUGGUACGGCGACCACUCAUAUAAUAUUGGGAAUAGGGCCCAGGAGUUUCUACCGGAUAACCAUUGUAAUUGUCCGACUAUGAGUGAAGAACGUGCUGAU